AUGUAAUAUAUAUGAUAUUGCUAGUGUAGACAAACACUGUUUUAAAUGUAGGUUAGAUUUCCAUGUUCACAAUAUUCUAUUGAGGUGAUUGUUUCUCUUGUUUGCUAUUAAAAAGCUGUAAAUAACGAGUCAUUUUUGUCAUGUGUGUGCUUUAUCUAGUAGUGGAACAGAGUGUGCUACUUUAUGCUCUUGGUGCUUUGAGCUGAAAUUUCCUCAGAAAUCCUGCCUGCAGCUUUGGAGAUGCAGCUGUGGAAGUCAGAAACAUGACACAUGUCAAGUGAUAGUCAUGGUUAACUUACUAUGUCCAGGCAGAACCCAGAGACUACAUUUGAAGUGUAUGUGGAAGUGGCCUAUCCUAGGACAGGUGGCACUCUUUCAGGGGAAGGAAGUGGGCAGGUGAAAAGGUCAUGCAAAGGUGCCUCAGCUUCCCUCAUGUUACAACUACAGCCGUAUAUCACUGUGUCCAGCAUUCUAAAGGUGCCUGUGUAGCUCAGUACUUGGUUGAAAAUGCUUUGCCUGGAAUUUGCACUGGACAUAUUUGGAGAAGAAAGCCUCCCUGCAUUGUGCAUUUAAAAAAGUUUUUGUAAGUAUGCUUAGAAAAUGGCAGCAUUUAUUGGUUUUGGCUGUCAAUGUCUGCUGCUCCUGACUGUGUUUAACCAGAAAGGGAAACUCAGAGUAGAAAAAGUUUCACUCCCAAGAUUUUACAAGAGAACCCGUCUUUGUUGAGUUAUAUAUAUAUAUUUUAAAGGAGCUUGACAUCUUCAUCAAGUUCACAGUGGGCUUGCUUUGUUUGCUUUCUCUUGAAUGCUUGAUAAGAUUUUUCUUCUAUUGUUUUGUGCAGUAAGAACAGAUCUUUCCCUGGCUGGGGUGGGUUUUUUGUAAAUCCACAAUAUGGUCAUUGUCUGGUGGUGAAUAAUUGUGGCUGCUUUUUGUACAACCAGAACUAAGGCUUUGGCUGUGAACAGAUUCCUUCUUAGUGUGAAAAGGGACUAAUCCAUGUAAAUACAGCCCCCAAAUAAAGCUUUACAGAGAAAGGGGAAGGCCGCUAAGCAGGAGGGCACAGGUCAGCAAUUUAACCUUUAACCUAACAAAUAAGAAGCAUGAAAGUUCCAGAAUUGGUUUACAAAAGAAAGCUCCUGUGAUCUGUCAGUUUUUCUUUUCAGGAGGGGGCUGGGGGAGAGGUCUGACUGACAGCUAGUGCCUUUUAACUGCAGCCUGAAAUUAACUGCCAAAUUGAAACUUGAAUAUUUGAGGGAGAAGUUUCCUUAAAGAAGUGAAGGUGGCAGAAUAGACUAUAUAGGCUUCAGCCUGGGAUUUUAGCCUGUAAGUGGGGUGAAAAGCUUAGAACUGGACUGCUGUUAGGAUCCCUCCCAAGACUGUCAGUCUGUGGUCUGACUCUUAUGUCAAACUAGACAUGAACUUUGCAGUUUCAAGCCAGGAGAAAGAAACUCUUCCCCCUUUCUAGUAGUAUCACUGAUAUCCUUUGUAGACGCUUCUUGCUUCUUUAAAUUAAUUGUAGCUUUAACCAAAGAUAUAAGAGCUUUUUGUAAAUGUAAUGAAUAUGUUUUCCCCAUCUUGAGAUUUCACUGCUUACAGCUGUCACAGCCUGGUGCAUUUUGGGACUCAGUGUAGUGUGGAGCUGUGAGGCAGAGGAUGCAGGAAUGCUCUCACACACUGUUGUGUAACUCUAUGGGCACACAUAGUUGAGGCUGAGCAGCAGAAAUUGGAGUAUCAGGCAGUGCAUGGGGACACCAGAAGCUGUGGCAAAGGAGGGAUUUCUCCAUCUCCUAUACAGGCUAAAAUAAGGUUGUGGUGAGCUUUACUGUUUUACUUUAUGCUGUUUUACCCAUUUACAAACUUUGCAAAACAGUUUGUAUUUAUUUAAUCACAACAGGUAAUCUUGUUAGUGAGUGUUAGUUUUUGCUUAAAGCAUAACGCAUCUCAAGUUAGAGGUUCCAUCUCACUGUGGAGAAUUUUGUAACUGUAAAAGCUUUAAUUACUAAGAAUUAUUCAGAUUAAGAGAAACAAUGAUCUAAUGACUUUAAAGUAGCUCUCCAUAGAUGAAGAAUAGUAAUUACACUGUUAUUAUCUCGUAGAACCAAAGGCCCAGGGAUGAGACUGAGUUCUUCAGUUGUCCUUAAUGCAAUGGUUCUCAACCUUCCCAAUGUUGUGACCCUUUAAUAUAGUUCCUCAUGUUGUGGUGACCCCAACCAUAAAAUUACUUUUGUUGAUGCUUCAUUACUGUAAUUUUGCUACUGUUAUGAAUUGUAACAUAAAUAUCUGAUAUGCUAGAUAUGCGACUCCUGUGAAAGAAAGGGUUGUUCAACCCCAAAAGGGGUUGUGACCCAAAGGUUGAGAACCACUGGCUUAGGAAGUUGUUUUCUUUUUAUCUAUCCUUGCCAUU